AUUGAACGCUGGCGGCAGGCCUAACACAUGCAAGUCGAGCGGCUGAAGAGAGCUUGCUCUCUGAUUUAGCGGCGGACGGGUGAGUAAUGCCUAGGCAUCUGCCUGGUAGUGGGGGAUAACGUUCCGAAAGGAACGCUAAUACCGCAUACGUCCUACGGGAGAAAGCAGGGGACCUUCGGGCCUUGCGCUAUCAGAUGCGCCUAGGUCGCAUUAGCUAGUUGGUGAGGUAAUGGCUCACCAAGGCGACGAUCCGUAACUGGGCUGAGAGGAUGAGCAGUAACGCUGGAACUGAGACACGGCCCAGACUCCUACGGGAGGCAGCGGUGGGGAAUAUUAGACAAUGGUCGAAAGCCUGAUCCGGCCAUGCCGCGUGUGUGAAGAAGGUCUUCGGAUUGUAAAGCACUUUAAGUUGGGAGGAAGGGCAUUAACCUAAUACGUUAGUGUUUUGACGUUACCAACAGAAUAAGCACCGGCUAACUUCGUGCCAGCAGCCGCCGUAAGAC
rnacentral:rRNA from 1 species